AAUAAGAGACUAAAAUAAUAAGGGAAACUCAGAGGAUAUAUGGAGGAAACAGAAAAAGAAAAAAAAAAAAAUGGAAGAAAAGAAGUUUGUUAGUUAAAGAGUUUUGGUGGUGGGUGGUGGUGGUGCUCAUGGAGAGCGGCGUCUGUGGUGAUGGUGGUGGUGGUAGGAAGAAAGCAAGAAAGGAAGGAUGAGGAUAAGCCAUGUGCAAAUACAGUAAGGUAUGGGAUUCCAAUAUUAAUGGGAAUGGGAAUUUAGCCAACCCAGCC
rnacentral:lncRNA from 1 species